AAUAGAAGGAAAAAGAAGGAAUAUUUAAAAAAGGAAAGAAAAAAGACAAGUGAACAGAAUAUUUCUCACUCACUGCUGGUUCAAUUCUGACAGAUGAAAUUACCUGUGUUAUCAUCUCCAAUGACUGGCCAGGUAAUAUAUUGAGGAAAUACCAAAAGUAGGAGAAUCAGUGACAAGGGGUUGCAAGAGGAGUCAUCUUGAGCAACUAAAUGGGGAAGAAUUAUGCUGAAGUUGUUCAGCAUUUUCAGACAGAGGAAUGAAGAGACCGGAGAACAGAGAGGAAGGAGGACUUGAGGACAGAGGACAUCUUCUAAGUUAUGAACACACUGUACAUUAGGCUUCAGCACUGUCACCCCUGAUGUUCCCCCUCCCGCAAACCAGUGACGCGGACAGGGAGGUGCGCACCGUCUACAGGCUAAAUUUUACAGUCACAAGAAUUACGUUCACCUAGGGGAAAAAACAGACUAUCAUUUGUGAAGGAAAUCUGGCAAAUAUAACGUGAUCCAGUGCAGACUGACUUGUGCUGUUUCAUCAGGUUGGAUAGAUGAUGCCCACUUCAAUUUCUGUGUGUGCCUAAGCUGAAGCCCUGCAACAUCAUUUUAUCUGUCAUCAUUAAACGCAUUUCCAGAUAUUUUUAAUAGAAGUGUCUGGCUACUUGGAGAUAAUGGACAAAGCAUUUACAGUAAUCACCUGUUCUCGCUAUUCAUGGGUGCGCAAGGAAUCCACCAGCACAGUGCAUCUUUUCAGAAGGAUUUGGACCCUGACAGCCUGACACCAUUGCCUUAAAGCCACAUCAAUGAAAGAUUUUCGCGCAGCUACCAAAAAGAUUUACUGGGGAGCCUGUGGGCUGAGCAUUUCCAGUCUGGUGAAGUAGAAGUAAUAAGAAAAACGGUCAUGCAACGAAAGCAAGUCCUUUACCCUCAAAUGUGAGCUGGGAGCAAAUGGACAAUGAUUUUUCAUGAGCCAGUCUGCUGUCGGAGCAGCGAUUCUCAUUGACAGAGAAGUUAAUAAACAUUAGGAGGAUAUUCCACAAUUGACAUUUCCAGUCCGUUCCUUUAAUCCUGGUUGUAAUUCAGCUCAGGACCUUACGGAAUCUUGAGCUUCCCAACCCGUCAUUUGAAUGUGUUGCUCAGGAUUGCUGGUGAGCUCCACUUGUGCCUUCUGGAAGUUUGUGGGUUGCUGACAGCCCCAUGCAGGGCACUGAGUGUGGUUGGAAGGAGGAGAUGCAAAGGCAACACACAGAAGUGUCUGAACUCCACAGAGGAUCGGAGCAAGCGACCUACCUGUCCCAAGGCAGCUGUACAGAGCAUGUCUGAGUCUGGGGAUUGAUCUCUGCAUCAAAAGAACGUAGGAGAAAACAGUAUGUACCCUAUAGAGAGCAGCAUCUGCUGGAGUGUUGUGAAGUACUCUUUGUUUUGGUGAGAAGCCAUGGAAACACUGGAGUAAAACCAUUAGGAGGUUGUGUCUGCUUCCUGCCUUGCUUUCUGCACAGUCUGUUGCAGGUUUAAUGAAAGCAAAUGUGGCCUUUGGGCAUGUUUCUGCUCACAGGGGUACUGUGCAGGCUGCUAUAGCCGUUAAUUUGAUAAAAAUUAGUAUAGGGCAAAUCUUGACCUCUUCCGAAACCAGUUAUGGAAAAUGAAAUAUUCUUCAUUGGAUCUGCCUGCUGUGGGUUUUUUUGGAGAAGUGUCUUACCAAGCCUGGUGGACACAAUGAUUGUUAUGUUUAGUGUAGUAGAAUGACAUUAUUCUGCUUCAGAAGUAGUUAAAUAAGUCAAGUACUUAGGAAAAGUCAGUUCUUUGCUAGCUCUGAGCAGUCUUGCUGGUAAGAUGGACAGUACCAGUAGAAUUGCACUGACAAAACAUUCACACUUGGAGACGGAAGUAGUAUCAGUGAGAACUUUGAGCAUGAAGAGAACAGGCGUGUGCCAGAGAACAAAAUCUCUGACUGGCAACUACUUCAGUGUAAAGACCAAAUCCAGACCUUGAAAUCCUACUGAUCAGCUGCAGCAUUAGUUACAAUAAGCUUUAUGUGGUGUUAAAGUAGCUUGAAAGCACCCUUAGAGUGAGUGAUAAGGUUUUUGUGGCAACUGGGUGUUUUCCUGACUCCUAUUACCCUGGGCUUUUGCAGGAAAAGUGGCUUUUAUGUAAGUUCAAAUAAACUCUGCGUGUGUAUGUAUGUGAGUGCGGUGACUGUACACUGCGGGUCUGGGAACACCGGACUCACUUCUUCCUGUACAUCCUGUACGGACAGACUCUACCAGGGAAGGGGCAGCUCUGGAGCCCAGGGCAGACAAACUGAUCAAUAAACCACAUGGGGUCCAACAUACUGAAGACAGGUCUGAACACGUUUAUUAAACCUACGCUAGUCUGAGCUGAAAAAUCACUGCAUCGUACAAAUCCACAUUUAGUUCACUCUGAGUAAAACUGCACUGUAAACAUAAGCAAAAAUCCAUGGGCAUUACUUACAGCUGAUUUAAUCUUUCAUACAACAUGUUUCAGUGAAAAGGGAAAAAUCAGGCAGGGCAUUUCCUAUGCAUGGGGGCUUUUCAGUGCAGCAUGUGUGUAAACAAGUG